UACGGAGGGGGCUAGCGUUGUUCGGAAUUACUGGGCGUAAAGCGCGCGUAGGCAGACCUGCAAGUCGGGGGUGAAAGCCCGAGGCUCAACCUCGGAACUGCCUUCGAUACUGCGGGUCUCGAGUCCGGGAGAGGUGAGUGGAAUUCCUAGUGUAGAGGUGAAAUUCGUAGAUAUUAGGAAGAACACCCGUGGCGAAGGCGGCCCUCUGGUACGGAACUGACGCUGAGACGCGAAAGCGUGGGGAGCGAACAGG
rnacentral:rRNA from 1 species